UGACCUCGGAUCAGGUAGGAAUACCCGCUGAACUUAAGCAUAUCAUA
rnacentral:rRNA from 2 species